rnacentral:lncRNA from 1 species
GUUUGCUCGGCUGGCUCAUUUUACUUAGCUGCUGAAGAAGGAGAGUCGCAUUCAGCCAGGGAUCACUGAGCAUUCAAAAGUCCAUCUGAGACCUGCUUUCAUUGCACUGCCUCGUGAGGAGCUGUAGGAGAAGAUAUCAUAACUAUUCCCCACUUCUAAUUGUUAGAAGCAACAGCUGUCUAUCAAGAACAAUCUGAGGAUUGUGCACAAAUUGAUUUGGUUCUAUCAAGUGCUGGCUUUCGAUUCCAGUCUGACUUCACUACCACAGGAGCUUCUUGCUCAGGCUUCUGUUCCGGCUCCAUUCUCUCCCUGCCAUUAUAAUGCCAUCCACUGCAGCACCAUCUCUUCAAUCACUCUUCAGAAAUGCAAAUUGCUGCCUUCAGAAGGAAGCACACGGGCCUAUGAAUUUUAUAUCAGCAGGGAUUACCAAUGAGUCAUGCUUGAUGUUGUAAAAACUAUUCAGUUGCUUUGCAUGAAAAUUUGUGGAACUCUCCCAGGUUUUCUGUGUUAAAUGUCAUCAACAAUAAAGAUAAAGAAGCUGAGGUUCAGAGAGGAUAAAUGAACUACCUGAUGUCGCCCAAGGAGGAGCACGUCAAGAUUUUCACUAGGUUGUCUUUCAUGCCAAAGUGUGUGCUUUGAACUCCAAGUUGCCAUGGUGUCAAAGGAGGGAACAUUUGGGCUUUCCUAUCAGCUUGCCCACAUGGGGCAGUGGGAGAAGAAGUGAUGGUACUUGAAAGCUGUCAACAGUCAAACAUCAAAAAUGGAGUCAAACUCUAUUACAAACUUGCAGACCAGAGAUGUCUCUUCAUCAGUGCUCAGCCCAGCUACCCUCUAGGUUGGUCUUUCUGAGGUGGCUGAAAUUCAUUAAUAAAGUGGUGCUGAACCUCUAUAGAAAA